rnacentral:rRNA from 1 species
UACGUAGGUGGCAAGCGUUAUCCGGAUUUACUGGGUGUAAAGGGAGCGUAGACGGCAUUGCAAGUCUGAUGUGAAAGAUUGGGGCUCAACCCCAGGCCUGCAUUGGAAACUGUAAAGCUGGAGUACAGGAGAGGUAAGCGGAAUUCCUAGUGUAGCGGUGAAAUGCGUAGAUAUUAGGAGGAACACCAGUGGCGAAGGCGGCUUACUGGACUGUAACUGACGUUGAGGCUCGAAAGCGUGGGGAGCAAACA